AAUACAUGAUAAUUAUUUUAAAUAACUUUAUUAAAAUGAAUAAUAAAAAAUAGAACAAAUUUACUUGUACAGACUUCCUCGUAUAAGAAAAUGUCACAUUUUACAAUACGAUUAUACAUCAUUUAUACAUAUCCUCAUAGACGCAGUUGAAUAGAAACAGUGCAUGAUAAAACAUAACAUUUAUUACAUGCAACACAAUUUACAGAAUAUGUAUUAAAUACAAAUUUCAUACAUUUAAAUUACAUACACAAAUGAUACACAUCAUCAAUACCCCCGCCCUUUUUUUCACACUUACAACUUCCUUUUUAAGCGCUAAGCGUAGCUUAAUCGCUUAUUGCUGCCAGUUGAAUUUUGCUUUCGUCAUCAUGUUUCCGGUUUAUCGCCACCUAUAGGCGAAUUUAUGCAUCGCUGUAGUCAACAAGUCGUGUUUAAAGUAGUCGUAAUUUUGCAACCGAUCUAGCACGGGGAUAACAUUCAUAUCUGCAGUUGCAUCCCCCCCACCCCCCCACCCCCCCACCCCCCUCGGAAAUACAGUUCGUUGAACAGUGAAUAAAAUAUAUAUAAAAGGAUGAUAUUUUUGUCCUCAUUCUUGGGGAAAGUGAGAAACAGAUGCAGGUCAUUCUUCAGUUAAAAUUCCCAUUUGAAUCUGCGUCUGUGAUAAUUAAAGUGAUUCAAAAUCUACAAUUGAAUAAGAAUAUGUAUAUGAAACCGUUUUAGCUAGGGUGCCUUUGAAUUGUUACCUUCGCAUGGCGCUUAGAGGCCAGGGAAAUUAAUUUGCAUGGUGCAAUCUAUAAUUAGAAGCCACGUCAUUAAGCUAUACACGAGUCAGGAGGGUUUUCCACUUGUGUUUUGGCUGCUGUUCCGACUCAGUAAAAUUUUUGUCCGACGCAGCAAAAAUGUGUGCAACACAGUAAAAAAUUAACUGAUCCGCGUCCAUUGUGAACGAGAAAGAAUUUGUUCACGAUUAUGCUGACAGAGAUCGGUAUCUCAGAAGGAUGAUAUUGCGUAACUGCUUACACCUUCCCCGAUCAUAUAUGUAAGUCGGUCAUGCAGAAAUUUAGAGGAUGCAACGGUGUAACUUAAGCUUACUUUAUUAUUUCUAAAUGACCAAGAUAUUCUUCAGAAUCAUCGUCAACACAAUCAAAUUUUGAUUUCGUGAUUUAGUUUCAAAAAUAAGACUAAAAAUAAUAGUCUUGGGGGAAGGAAAAGAUAAAAGGUACAACAUUAUAUUAUAUUAUAUUAUAUUAUGGAAGACAAUACCCCGGUUUCAAGUAUUCAAAACACCGCGUGGAAUUUUACGAGCACUGUAUACUGAAAUACACAUGUUUAGAACAAGUGUUAGAUAAACAUUGCCAUUUUGUCAAGCAUGAAUGUGAAAUGGUUUGCGGUACACAGCACGCUACAUACAACGAAAAGUAAUCGUGUUUUCAAUUUCUUUGUACUUCAAACAAACAAUUGACAAUGACAUGCAUAUGCUACAUGUAUUUCCGAACAUACAAAUGAUGAAGAAGGGGGAGGGGCAUGGAUGUACUGUCGUUGUUCCCUGUCCCCACAUUUUGUUUUCGCUGAACGAUCUUUUCAUAUAAAAAAGAUGCAUUUAGUUUUUUGGUGAGAUGCCUCUUCAUUAUUUCUAACAGCGGUUUGAACAUUACCGUUUGAAAAUUGCUUUUGUAACUUUUCAGUACCUAGUUUGGGAUUCUCAUUUAGCUACAUUUACAUGUUGUAAAUCUUGCAUAUUUAUUGCGAGUCACUUCUGUUACGUUUUUUUUUUUUCAUAUUAGAACUACUACACAAGCUUCGAAUCUUAUGGUUUUUUGCUAAGGUUAUUAGAAUUUUCAUAUAAAGAACUGUUUCAUAAAAUUAAAACAAUAGCAAUGUGUAUUAUGUCUCAUUCAGACAAAUGGAUGAGUCAUAUUGAAUAUGAGCUUUUACACAAGAAGUGUAAUACACACAAGUUGAUGAGUACAGCGUUUAAUGUACCUGUGUACAAACUCUUGUUUUUUUUGUUUUUUGUUUUUGUUUUUAGAUUUACGUAUAACAAACAAUCACUACAAUUGCUAAAUGUAAAUCCAUGCUUAUAUGUUAGUCUAAUUCAUCAUCAUAUUUGAAUUAGUAUAUCUUCUUGCACUAACUUUCAUGUUAAAAAUGAGCUAUCUCCACUCUUGUUGAUGAUGCAGUAUUCAGUUUCAAAGUAAUAUUGGACAUGUAUGAUGAACAUCUUUUCUAAAUAACUUCCUAAAUUUUGUUUUCAGUUAUACAUGUAUUUAUCGGACUUAUUUGGAUUCACAUUCUCUCCAACUUGAUUUUGAAUUGAAAAUAACUUCAUUAUUGAUUACAAAAAAUAAUUCCACUUUCAUGGUUUGAUUGCUAUUUACAGAUAAUUAUGCACUGGAUUCUGUAGUACAAGUCAUACAGAUGCAUGUUUAUGUGUGUAUUUAAAUGAUUUCUGGUAAGGUAAUGAAAUGGAUGUAAAGUGUUUCAUAAUCCUGCAUUAUUGGUGUGUUUUGACAUGUGGCAUUUGUUAGUGUAUGUGGUUAUGUGCAAUUUUCUUUUUUGUCCAGUUUGUUUGUUCCUUUCUAUUAUAAGUGACCUACAUAUAUGUAUCAAACUAUUGAUUUGUUUCAUUUCAGUUAUAUUCUAAAAAUAUUUCAUACACUAUUUAACUGGAACACAACAGUAAGUUAGUUGCGUAAUAACAAUUGAACACUUUAUACUGAAAACUACCAUUACAACUGUUUUCACAUUUUCUACCAAAAAUAUUCUUCUCUAUAACAUCACAUCUGUAAGAAAAAAAAAUGCAUAGUCAUGUAGAGCAUUUAAUGAUCCAGGGACCAGAGCAGAGCGGAUCAGAAACCCUUGCCUUGGGAAGAUGGGUGGGAGCUAAACAGGACGUCACCAAGACCGGUGAAGGGCUUCAAAUUUAGGCCUAUGCUCGGCGCUUACGGCCAUUGAGCAGUGAGGGUUCUUUAGCGUACCACACCUACUGUGACACAGGACAUCCGUUUUAAAGGCCAUCUCCGAGGACCCGUGACAUUCACACCUGAUGCCGAGAGUUUGGUGAUGGAACUGUCACUACCUGUUUAACGAACUAGGUCUGUCGCGGCCGGGAUUCGAACCCCGACCACCCGCAUACAGAGCGAACACUUUACCUCUGGACCACCGCAGCGGUGAUGAUGGACCACUCUACUUCCUUUUACAACAGGUGCCCCUACAGAUUCACAAAGUUCCAAUGUUGAUUUUCCAUGACCCCCAUUCAUCCGCGACAGGAAAAGGAAUGAAAUUGACAGGAUUUCCCGCACUGUCCUUGGUAGCAGCUUAUGAUAGAACGGACAGCAGUAGACAUAGCCCGCUUCAUCAAAGGUCUGCUGCAUGUUGGUAGCUGAUGCUGGUUCAAUAUUUGCGCCAAGAAGCAUACCACGCAUACCCUCUGUAGUAAGGCUGGUACCCAUGUGACUGACAGCCAUAGCCACAUUUAGCUGUGCAGCUCUGCGUCCCCUUCUGGAUCUCCCCACCUCUUCAUACAGCUUUUCACGGUGACUUGUAUAGUGGCACUUCUUACAUCGGAUGGAAAGGAUCCAUGCCAGGCCUCGUUUUUCCUCCCCAUGCUGGUUCCAGUCCAGUGAACCAUUACAGUCUGGAAACUUCUAGCUGCCUGGUCUUCUAAGAGAAACUCCAUUCUUUGAUGACUGAUGGAAAAGCCUCAUCACUCCCUGCUGCUAAAGAACCACUUAUCUUAAUCACCAACCAUUUAUCAGUGAUCACUGUUAUCAAAGCUCCAUGGUGCGCAUGAUGCAACUUCCUGGAUGGUGUGUAGUCUGUUUGUCAACAUGUGAAACCCACGUGUAUUUUGAGGUAGGUGUGUUUACUGUCAAUUUUCUCUCUUAAAUGCCGCAUAAGGCGUCCUUUUUCUGAUCUCAAAUUUUUGCCCAAGAAUUAAUUUUUAUUUUCUCUUUCAUUAAUUAUCUACUGAGAGUCUAGUUACUUAAUUAAUUUAAUUAAAGCUAUAUAGUAACAUAUAGUGAAAUUAUUUCCUUAAACAUGUUAAACAAACUUUCCCUUGAUAGUCGUGUCGGAAAGCAAAAUCCAUUUUGAAUAGUUUAACAAAAUUGUUGCCAGGAUUCAUAAUUAGUCAGUUCUUUAAACAUGUUAAAAGUAAAUAUUAUACUGUGCUAGUUAUGUGCAUUCAUUGUGUCGCCUGCGUUACACGCAGUGGCAACAUAUAGGGAUCACUAUCCGUCGUCGUCUG